rnacentral:rRNA from 1 species
AUGAUAUCCAAAGGUUUAGGCUGGGAGAAUCAUGAGGUUGAGUAUGCCCCAAUGCCUCUUGGAUAUAUUGAACGGGGUAUUAAUGUCUUGAAGAAAUAUCAUACCCACCUGAAGGGGAGUGAAGAAGGUGUGGAUUACGUCUAUGGAGCCAUUUAUUGCUCUUUAGGCGACUAUUCUGUCUCCCCUCCUCUUUUAAGGUCUUUAUUGGAGAAAUGGGACCCCAACACCAACACGUUUUUGUUCUCGUGUGACGAGCGUACAGUCACACUUCUUGAUAUGCAUCAGAUCGCGGGGUUGCCCCUUGAUGGUGAACCUUAUGAAGAAUAUGUUCCCCCUAGCUGA